rnacentral:rRNA from 1 species
AGGAAACAGCUUGCUGUUUCGCUGACGAGUGGCGGACGGGUGAGUAAUGUCUGGGAAACUGCCUGAUGGAGGGGGAUAACUACUGGAAACGGUAGCUAAUACCGCAUAACGUCGCAAGACCAAAGAGGGGGACCUUCGGGCCUCUUGCCAUCGGAUGUGCCCAGAUGGGAUUAGCUAGUAGGUGGGGUAACGGCUCACCUAGGCGACGAUCCCUAGCUGGUCUGAGAGGAUGACCAGCCACACUGGAACUGAGACACGGUCCAGACUCCUACGGGAGGCAGCAGUGGGGAAUAUUGCACAAUGGGCGCAAGCCUGAUGCAGCCAUGCCGCGUGUAUGAAGAAGGCCUUCGGGUUGUAAAGUACUUUCAGCGGGGAGGAAGGGAGUAAAGUUAAUACCUUUGCUCAUUGACGUUACCCGCAGAAGAAGCACCGGCUAACUCCGUGCCAGCAGCCGCGGUAAUACGGAGGGUGCAAGCGUUAAUCGGAAUUACUGGGCGUAAAGCGCACGCAGGCGGUUUGUUAAGUCAGAUGUGAAAUCCCCGGGCUCAACCUGGGAACUGCAUCUGAUACUGGCAAGCUUGAGUCUCGUAGAGGGGGGUAGAAUUCCAGGUGUAGCGGUGAAAUGCGUAGAGAUCUGGAGGAAUACCGGUGGCGAAGGCGGCCCCCUGGACGAAGACUGACGCU